CCCACUUUCUCCUCCAUCUACCCUCCGAUUUAACCAGGCCAUUCCCCGCCGCUGUGAAAAAACGGGAAAUCAACUAACCUAACCAAAUACAGGGAGGGUGGGAGGGACAACUGACAGGUAAGCUUAGGUUCAGUUAAAAUGGCAGGCGCACAGUCGGAUUUGACGGCAUAUGCGCUAACCUUACCCAAACCCCCAUUAAAACACGGACACAGGUUAUACUGUUGGAAAUAAUU